rnacentral:rRNA from 1 species
CCUACGGGAGGCAGCAGUGGGGAAUAUUGCGCAAUGGGCGAUAGCCUGACGCAGCGACGCCGCGUGAGGGAUGAAGGUCUUCGGAUCGUACACCUCUGUCAGCAGGGAAGAACGGUCACUGUGCUAAUCAGCAGUGAAUUGACGGUACCUGCAAAGGAAGCACCAGCUAACUCCGUGCCAGCAGCCGCGGUAAUACGGAGGGUGCGAGCGUUAAUCGGAAGUACUGGGCGUAAAGCGCUCGUAGGCGGUAUGUCAAGUCAAGGGUGAAAUCCCCGCGCUCAACGUGGGAACUGCCUUUGAAACUGGCAAACUUGAGUGUAUGAGAGGAGAGUGGAAUUUCAGGUGUAGGAGUGAAAUCCGUAGAUAUCUGGAGGAACACCAGUGGCGAAGGCGACUAUCUGGCACAUAACUGACGCUGAGGAGCGAAAGCGUGGGUAGCAAACAGGAUUAGAUACCCGGGUAGUC